rfam:Camelus ferus unplaced genomic scaffold scaffold954, whole genome shotgun sequence.
GGAGGGCACAGCUCAGGGGCAGAGUGCGUGCUUAGCAAGCAUGAGGUCCUGGGUUCAAUCCCCAGACCCUCCA